rnacentral:rRNA from 1 species
CGGAGGGUGCAAGCGUUAUCCGGAUUCACUGGGUUUAAAGGGUGCGUAGGUGGGCAAGUAAGUCAGUGGUGAAAUCUCCGGGCUUAACCCGGAAACUGCCAUUGAUACUAUUUGUCUUGAAUACUGUGGAGGUCAGCGGAAUAUGUCAUGUAGCGGUGAAAUGCUUAGAUAUGACAUAGAACACCAAUUGCGAAGGCAGCUGGCUACACAAAUAUUGACACUGAGGCACGAAAGCGUGGGGGAUCAAACAGGAUUAGAUACCCUGGUAGUCCACGCCCUAAACUAUGGAUACUCGACAUUUGCGAUAAACUGCAAGUGUCUGAGCGAAAGCAUUAAGUAUCCCACCUGGGAAGUACGAUCGCAAGAUUG